GGUAGAGCGUCGCUCCCGGUGGAGCGCGCGGUCUUCAAAGCCGUUGAGUUGCCGAAGAGGUGAUUGGUGGGUUCGACUCCUACCUCUACCGCCA
rnacentral:tRNA from 1 species